UCUGGUUGAUCCCGGCAGAGGUUACUGCUAUCGGUGAUUGACUAAGCCAUGCGAGUCAAAUGUUCUUCGUGAACAUGGCGUAAUGCUCAGUAACACGUGGAUAACCUGCCCUUAGGUCCGGCAUAAUCUCGGGAAACUGAGGAUAAUUCCGGAUAGCUCUUUUUGGCUGGGAACGCAUUAAGAGUCAAAGAAUUUCGCCUAAGGAUGGGUCUGCGGCCUAUCAGGUAGUCGAGGGUGUAACGCACCUUCGAGCCGACAACGGGUACGGGUUGUGAGAGCAAGAGCCCGGAGAUGGAUUCUGAGACAUGAAUCCAGGCCCUACGGGGCGCAGCAGGCGCGAAAACUUUACAAUGCAGGAAACUGUGAUAAGGAAACACCGAGUGCUCACAUCAAAUGUGGGCUGUCCACGUACCCAAAUCGUACGUGUUAGCAAGGGCCGGGCAAUACCGGUGCCAGCCGCCGCGGUAAUACCGGUGGCCCGAGUGGUAGCCGCUUUUAUUUGGUCUAAAGGGUCCGUAGCCGGUUCGGUCAGUCCAUUGGUAAAUCCGGGUGCCCAACACCCGGCCUUCAGUGGAUACUUCCGGACUUGGGACCGGGAGAGGUAAGAGGUACUAUAGGGGUAGGAGUGAAAUCUUGUAAUCCCUAUGGGACCACCUGUGGCGAAGGCGUCUUACCAGAACGGGUCCGACGGUGAGGGACGAAAGCUGGGGGCACGAACCGGAUUAGAUACCCGGGUAGUCCCAGCCGUAAACUAUGCCCGCUGGGUGUCAGGCAUGGCGCGACUGUGUCUGGUGCCGUAGAGAAGUCGUGAAGCGGGCCACCUGGGAAGUACGGCCGCAAGGCUGAAACUUAAAGGAAUUGGCGGGGGAGCACUACAACGGGUGGAGCUGCGGUUUAAUUGGACUCAACGCCGGAAAACUCACCAGGGGAGACAGCAAUAUGUAGGUCAGGCUGAAGACCUUACCUGAAUCGCUGAGAGGAGGUGCAUGGUCGUCGCCAGUUCGUACUGUGAAGCAUCCUGUUAAGUCAGGCAACGAGCGAGACCC
rnacentral:rRNA from 1 species